rnacentral:lncRNA from 1 species
UCUCUACCAAAGGCAUUGCAAAAGGAAAAACUUCAUCAUUCUUUUUCUUUUUCAUACUAUACAAAAAGAGGGCAAGCAAUUCUAAGGAGAGAUUGUUGGUUCCUUCCAAUAGAAGAGUCAUAAUUAUCUCCAUGGAUGUAAAGAUAUUUUCUAUAUGAUUUUUCGAUUAGAGUAUGUUUGAUUGACAUUGAAAAUAUCACCUAGAAAAUAAGAUACUUUCCUUUUUUGAGGAAAACAAAAACCUACACUCCCCUAAUAGAAUAUAUUUUUCUUAAAAACAAGUAAAACUAGGCAUAUUUUCAAUGGAAAAAAAAUAGCAACCAAACAUCCAAAGUACGAAUUUGGGUGGAAAACUGAUAAUUUUUAUGGAAAAUAAAUGCAAUCAACCCUUAAGGCUAUAAGAAAAUGUUGGAACGUGGAAGACUGGAAGCUAUGAGUAGUUCAUUCUAGAUUCAACAUGAUAACACAACUCUUAACAUUAGUCAAGUUUGAAGUAUCCUAGCUCCCUAAGCAUACAAUUUGGAUACAAUUAAUGGAAAUAUAUUCUUUCCUUGUCUCAUCGUCAUACGGAGCAUCGGGUGCAUUAAUAUGGAAUAUUUCACUUAGGCAAGAAGCAAUUGCAACUUGUAAAUCAACAUGUGCGUAUUUUAAUGGUUCAUAUUAGUGGAGAGAAAUGUGAGCAUGGAAAUAACAGGUGAUUAGUCCACUUGUGAGAGUAAAUUUUCAAUUUGUUCAUAUACAGGCAAGAGAUCAUUAAGAGACUACAAAUUGAAGAAUCUGUAUUCCAGUUUCAUUAAUUUUUCCCAACUUUUUGUAGGCACACCACUACAUUUAUGGGACUAACUUAUUCAAAGUGAUUUGAAUUGCACGAUUUUUGCAUGUUUCUUUUUUCUUUUUAUUUAUUAUUAAUUUUAGAAUAAGAUACCAAGCACCUAUAUGAAAAUUAAAGUUCAGGUGGAACAAAAUUGAUACUUGACCAAAAAUCAAAUUGAACCAGCAACCCAACGUUUGAAUCAUUGAUAAGCAUAUGCAUUCUACUAGAAUAAGAUAAGAAGCCCUCGAAAAAUCAAGGGCAACAAGCUACUUAAAAGGUUCGGCCGAGCUGAAUAUUGGAGAGUUCAUCCUACCACAAACCCUAUAGAUAUAAAAGAUGGGCUGUCAAGAACAUAGAGGAGGUGGAUGGCAGUUGAUAAGAUUUAGUUUGAAUCACACAUGGAAUGUAACAAAAUACCUUUCAGGGUUUUGAAAGCACUAGCUAAGGCAGAGAAAGAAUAUUUUGUUCUAUUUGUUGGUAACUCUUUGAUGCAGUCUAAGCCUACAACUAAAAUAAGGGGUCGAGUUUUGUUAUCCUUAAUUAUUUUCCUACAAUUGAAGUCACUAGAGGGCGUUUAAUCUAUAAUUAUGUAUUAGGGCCU